GGUAAUCCUCCCUCCUCCUCCCUCACCAAUUUAGUACCCGAGGUAAUCCUCCCUCCUCCUCCCUCACCAAUUUAGUACCCGAGGUAAUCCUCCCUCCUCCUCCCUCACCAAUUUAGUACCCGAGGUAAUCCUCCCUCCUCCUCCCUCACCAAUUUAGUACCCGAGGUAAUCCUCCUCCCUCACCAAUUUAGUACCCGAGGUAAUCCUCCUCCCUCACCAAUUUAGUACCCGAGGUAAUCCUCCCUCCUCCUCCCUCACCAAUUUAGUACCCGAGGUAAUCCUCCUCCCUCACCAAUUUAGUACCCGAGGUAAUCCUCCUCCCUCACCAAUUUAGUACCUGAGGUAAUCCUCCUCCUUCACCAACUUAGUACCUGAGGUAAUCCUCCUCCCUCACCAAUUUAGUACCUGAGGUAAUCCUCC